CCAACGUGGAUGUCCUGGGAGGUCACUCUCCCCAGGCUGUGUCCAAGUGGCGUACGGGAGCACAGGGCUCUGCCCCAUGAUGUACAGUCCCUUUCCACAACGUUGGAGAUGAAGCUGGGCCUUGAGUCUGCGCCUGCAUAUUCCUAAAACUUCUCAGAGUCCUGUGGACAGUGACUGAGGAGACAAACCAUGCAGGAUACAGCG
rnacentral:snoRNA from 1 species